CCCUUAGAUGUUCUGGGCCGCACGCGCGCUACAAUGAUGAAUUCAACGAGUUUAUAACCUUGGUUGAAAAGCCUGGGUAAUCUUUUGAACUUUCGUCGUGAUGGGGCUAGACCCUUGCAAUUAUUGGUCUCCAACGAGGAAUUCCUAGUAAACGCAAGUCAUCAGCUUGCAUUGAUUACGUCCCUGCCCUUUGUACACACCGCCCGUCGCACCUACCGAUUGAAUGGUCCGGUGAAAUCUUCGGAUUGAGACUUUGAUUUCUUCACGGAAAACGUUGUUUUAUAAAGUUGAUUAAACCUUACCAUUUAGAGGAAGGUGAAGUCGUAACA
rnacentral:rRNA from 1 species